AAAACUAUAAAAUUUCAUUUGAACUCAUUUCUAUACCAACUUGAACCAUAAUUCAAACUAUAGGGGCAAGAUAUGGGGAACUCUAUAUUUUUUGAAUUUUUCAGUGCAUCUUUUUGCAAUCCUCUCCGCCAACAUCUUCAAAUUCUCCAAUUUGUACAAAUUCAUUAGUCGAUUCUUCGUUACCAAUUCCUCCAACUCAAAAUUAUGAACGUUAUCGAAAAGUCCAUUUGAUCCCGUCACUAUCUCAUCCCAUAUUUCUACUUAAACUUUAAUUUCUUGUGCCACACUCGGAUAGUCAUAUUUAUCACUAUUCCCUAACUGAAAUGGAAAAUUGAAUCUUUUCGGCGGAAUUUCUGAUUUGUGUACUCUUAUAACAACAAACCUUCUAUCACAAACGUUGACCACAUGUACGAUAUCACACGUUAGAGUCUAUAUACAAGUUGUUGAUGAACCUUGAGAUUUUGUGUUCAAAAAGGCUUCCUUGAGAUCUUUCUUAAGGUCAAUUUCACAAAUGGUCAUCUUGAUAUUUCAAAAGAGGAGAAGAUAAAGAACACCAAAGUUUAAUUUGAAAGUCCUUCAAAUGGAAGGUAAAAACUAUGGGAUUACAAAGAUUCAAAACGCUCCAAUAUAACAAUAAGAGGGUUAUAAAGGUUUUAUAAAUUGGCUACACAACAAAUGCCAAAUAUGGAGCGAUGAUUGGCUAAAAUACAUAUAAUAUAACAUAAUUCGCGUCACAUUUUAGUGUAAUGUUAAUGAUUUUUAAGUAUAUUAUGAAGUUUUAAACUUAACUGUAUUGUUUAUGCAUGUAGGAGCUAUUGGAGGUAGAAUGGGGUAGAAGUGCAUGAUUUGUGGCAAGUAUUGGAAAUGGAGUUCUCCCUCUGUCGAGGAACAAAGUUGGAGUAGAACAGCAGCAGGCGAGGGAACUAACUGCGUCGCAUCCGGGAGCGCACUUAAGGCUUGUGCAAUGUGAAGAGUGCCACGCCCAAGAUGGCACCAAAAUUAGGCAUGCUCCCCAUUGUAUCGCGGCCACUAGCGCACACAAAUUUGGUGGGAUUUAGAUUACGGCACACUCACCGCCUCUCAAAGCCAACUUUUUCCUACUUUUGUUGGAUUUGAUUAAAAUCGUCUAGCACUUUUUCCACACCUAUAAAUAACCCUUAAGGACAUUUUUGGAGGGAAAUUUGACCUCUGUGAAGGAGAGACAUUGAUGGAUCAAUUUUGGAGAUGAAAAUCAUACAGUUUUUCUUCUUUCCUCUUAUUACUUGUACUUUAUACUCUUAAGCAUUAAUAUGAUUAUUAACAUGACUAUGAAUGGCUAGUUUUUUUCGUUCUAAGCUUAUGGGUGCUAUAUGAAUGUUGAUGUUUGAAAGUUUGAAUUGACAA
rnacentral:lncRNA from 1 species